rnacentral:lncRNA from 1 species
CAGUGAAAACCUGCAAAGGUCGUUGCUUUGAAAGGACCUUUGGAAGCUGCCGUUGUGAUAGAGAUUGUGUCAAGCUUGGAAACUGCUGCUUAGAUUACCAGGAAGCAUGUAUACAACCAGCCCACAUAUGGACCUGCAAUAAAUUCAGGUGUGGAGAGAAGAGGCGACCAGAAUAUCAUUGUUCCUGUUCGGAUGAUUGUGUGGAAAAUAAAGAUUGCUGUGUCAAUUAUCUUGCUGUCUGUAAAGGAGAGGCAAGCUGGGUUGAAGAAGAGUGUGAGGACAUUGCUGAACCUCAGUGUCCAAAAGGGUGAGGAUAUUGUAUAUUUGCAUAGCUCUGCUCUUUGCUUAUGUUUCAUUUUUAAGAUUAUUUUCCCUAAUGUGCCUUCUUAGGACCUGCUUGCCUUUCUUAUCACAGUAAAAGCAGCUGCCAGACAAAGGACACCUCUUCAGCCAGCAUUUAGUAGCACUUGCUAACAGAUCAGGUUGCUCCAUCUCAGCAGCACUCGCUUGACUUGCAAGACAUGC